CUUCUGUCAAAGAAAAACUUUCAAGAAUUGAAGAGCCACCAUCUUUCUAUUUUACUUCAACACAGAAAAGUAAAAGGAAACAAAACAAACAUCUCUAUCGUUCCUUCAAUUUCUUCGUCCUGCCACAUCACGUCCCGCUCCCGUUUCAUCAUCGUUUUGUAAACAAAACAAGUACAACAAUAACAUCAACUAACGGCAGAGAAAUGAAUUCGUUUAUGUUAAUUGUGUGCUUUGUAAUUGUUAUCCUAACCUAGGUAACGUAUCCACAGGAUACACAACAUAGAGCAAGCAACUCUCAAAGAUAAAUAAGAAACAAACACUUGCUACAUUUCACGCCACCAAAACAAAAUGUCUCUCCUUCCAUUUUCUCUGCCAUAGUCAGCAACAGCUAACAACACAGCGAGAAAGUUGCUACUUUCAAUACACAAAGUGAAUUUAGAAUUUAUUUUCCUCUAGCUAAGAUUGAGAUCCUUGAGAAUCAAGGACGAAGCGAAUAAUGAGUUUCCACCAACGACGACAAAUGAUGAUGGGAGAAGGAAGAAAGGUUAGGAUUAAAAUAGAAUAUUUUACCCCCAAGGCAACGUAAUGUUAACCCAAAUUUUGUGCUUUGAAUCCAAGAUGAAAAGCCCCGGUGAACACAAGAAAUAACAGUUUUCUCUUAGAGACUAGUUCAACUAAUUAUACGAUUUACGUCGUGCAAAAUGACUCAGCAACUAGCCAUUCUCUCAGCAGGAUACGACAAUAUACAAUUCUAUGUGGAACGUGUGUGAAGGAAUUUUUACAAAAUAAAUGGUCUUAAUGUAUAGAAACUGAUGGAGAGUUGUGUAGACUGCUGGCGGACUAAAGAAAGGUAUUCAAGAUUUUUGGGAUUUAGAAAACGUGUUAUUAAGUACGGAACGAUUACGAGAAGUUAUGUGACUCUCUCUUGAAUGCCAGAGGGUUUUUGUGUGUGUUGAGAGUAAACUUAUUGCAUUUGUGAUUGCGAUAAGGCAAGAGUAAAAUGGCAAUCGGAACUGAGUCUUUGCAUACAUACAUACUGCAGGUGUAUGUUGAAUUCUUGCAUAAUAAAUGGUCUCUUUGUGAACAUGCUGAAGGAGGAAGGUUCUUUCGAUUGUAGACAUGUAUUUACAAUUUUGUUGCUUGCUAAAUAUUUUACACAAGCUAAAAUACUGCAGUUUUUAUGAAAAUAUAUUUCGUAAAAAUUGAACCACUUGUCAAUUUCUCAGAAAAAGCAUACGGUCACUGUGGUACUGUUCAUAACUGACUCAAAACUGCAAGUCAAAUCUGUGGCUCAAAUCUGUAACUUUAAUCUGCGACUCAAAUCUUUGACUCCAAUCUGUGACUCAAAUCUGUGACCGAAAUCUGUGACUCAAAAUCGUGACUCAAAUCUGUGACUAAAAUCUGUCACUCAAAUCUUUGACUCAAAUCUGUGACUCAAAUCUGUGACUCAAAUCUGUGGCU